rnacentral:rRNA from 1 species
UACAGAGGGUGCGAGCGUUAAUCGGAAUUACUGGGCGUAAAGCGCACGUAGGCGGCUUGGUAUGUCGGGUGUGAAAUCCCCGGGCUCAACCUGGGAACUGCAUCCGAAACUGGGAGGCUUGAGUACUGAAGAGGAUCGCGGAAUUCCCGGUGUAGAGGUGAAAUUCGUAGAUAUGGGGAGGAACACCGGUGGCGAAGGCGGCCAUCUGGACGGAUACUGACGCUGAGACGCGAAAGCGUGGGUAGCAAACAGG